rnacentral:rRNA from 1 species
UGACCGCUGGCGGCGUGCCUAAUACAUGCAAGUCGAGCGAACAGACGCGGAGCUUGCUCCUCUGACGUUAGCGGCGGACGGGUGAGUAACACGUGGAUAACCUACCUAUAAGACUGGGAUAACUUCGGGAAACCGGAGCUAAUACCGGAUAAUAUAUUGAACCGCAUGGUUCAAUAGUGAAAGACGGUUUUGCUGUCACUUAUAGAUGGAUCCGCGCCGCAUUAGCUAGUUGGUAAGGUAACGGCUUACCAAGGCAACGAUGCGUAGCCGACCUGAGAGGGUGAUCGGCCACACUGGAACUGAAACACGGUCCAGACUCCUACGGGAGGCAGCAGUAGGGAAUCUUCCGCAAUGGGCGAAAGCCUUACAGAGCAACGCCGCGUGAGUGAUGAAGGUCUUCGGAUCGUAAAACUCUGUUAUUAGGGAAGAACAAAUGUGUAAGUAACUAUGCACUUCUUGACGGUACCUAAUCAGAAAGCCACGGCUAACUACGUG